AAAAAGGAAGAAGAGGAAGAGUGGGAUGAAGAUAACGAGAAGGAGGAUGAAGAUGCAGGGAACGAAGAAGACGACUGGCAGGAGAACGAGGAGCUGAGGGCAAUCGAGGGACUGGAGGGAGUUGCUCCUUUGAAGCCAGAGUUCUCCGGACCCAAGGAGAAGAUCGUACCCAUUCCUGAUGGAAGCUCCUUCUUCAUUCUUGGAAAGAAAAACUGGUAAUC